rnacentral:rRNA from 1 species
UACGUAGGGGGCAAGCGUUGUCCGGAAUCAUUGGGCGUAAAGAGCGUGUAGGCGGCCAGAUAAGUCCGCUGUGAAAUCUCGAGGCUCAACUUCGAGCUGUCGGUGGAAACUGUCUGGCUAGAGUCCGGAAGAGGAGAAUGGAAUUCCUGGUGUAGCGGUGAAAUGCGCAGAUAUUCGGAAGAACACCAGUGGCGAAGGCGACUCGCUGGACAAGUAUUGACGCUGAGGUGCGAAAGCGUGGGGAGCAAACAGG